rnacentral:tRNA from 4 species
GGGGCAUUAGCUUAGCUGGUAGAGCAGCUGACUCUUAAUCAGAAGGUCGCAGGUUCGAAUCCUGCAUGCCCCA